UAGGGAAUCUUCCGCAAUGGGCGAAAGCCUGACGGAGCAACGCCGCGUGAGUGAUGAAGGUCUUCGGAUCGUAAAACUCUGUUAUUAGGGAAGAACAAAUGUGUAAGUAACUAUGCACAUCUUGACGGUACCUAAUCAGAAAGCCACGGCUAACUACGUGCCAGCAGCCGCGGUAAUACGUAGGUGGCAAGCGUUAUCCGUAAUUAUUGGGCGUAAAGCGCGCGUAGGCGGUUUUUUAAGUCUGAUGUGAAAGCCAACGGCUCAACCGUGGAGGGUCAUUGGAAACUGGAAAACUUGGGUGCAGAAGAGGAAAGUGGAAUUCCAUGUGUAGCGGUGAAAUGCGCAAAAAUAUGGGGGAACACCAGUGGCGAAGGCGACUAUCUGGCCAUAAUCUGACGCUGGGGUACGAAAGCGUGGGUAGCAAACAGG
rnacentral:rRNA from 1 species